rnacentral:rRNA from 1 species
AUUGAACGCUGGCGGAAUGCUUUACACAUGCAAGUCGAACGGCAGCACGGACUUCGGUCUGGUGGCGAGUGGCGAACGGGUGAGUAAUGUAUCGGAACGGGCCCAGUCGUGGGGGAUAACGUAGUGAAAAUUACGCUAAUACCGCAUACGAUUUAUGGAUGAAAGCGGGGGAUCGCAAGACCUCGCGCGAUUGGAGCGGCCGAUAUCAGAUUAGGUAGUUGGUGGGGUAAAGGCCCACCAAGCCAACGAUCUGUAGCGGGUCUGAGAGGACGACCAGCCACACUGGAACUGAGACACGGUCCAGACUCCUACGGGAGGCAGCAGUGGGGAAUUUUGGACAAUGGGCGAAAGCCUGAUCCAGCCAUUCCGCGUGCAGGAUGAAGGCCCUCGGGUUGUAAACUGCUUUUGUACAGAACGAAAAGGUUUCUACUAAUACUAGGAGCUCAUGACGGUACUGUAAGAAUAAGCACCGGCUAACUACGUGCCAGCCGCCGCCGUAA